GAGUAGGGCGGGACACGUGGUAUCCUGUCUGAAUAUGGGGGGACCAUCCUCCAAGGCUAAAUACUCCUGACUGACCGAUAGUGAACCAGUACCGUGAGGGAAAGGCGAAAAGAACCCCGGCGAGGGGAGUGAAAAAGAACCUGAAACCGUGUACGUACAAGCAGUGGGAGCACCUUCGGGUGUGACUGCGUACCUUUUGUAUAAUGGGUCAGCGACUUAUAUUCUGUAGCAAGGUUAACCGUAUAGGGGAGCCGCAGGGAAACCGAGUCUUAACUGGGCGUUAAGUUGCAGGGUAUAGACCCGAAACCCGGUGAUCUAGCCAUGGGCAGGUUGAAGGUUGGGUAACACUAACUGGAGGACCGAACCGACUAAUGUUGAAAAAUUAGCGGAUGACUUGUGGCUGGGGGUGAAAGGCCAAUCAAACCGGGAGAUAGCUGGUUCUCCCCGAAAGCUAUUUAGGUAGCGCCUCGUGAAUUCAUCUUCGGGGGUAGAGCACUGUUUCGGCUAGGGGGUCAUCCCGACUUACCAACCCGAUGCAAACUACGAAUACCGAAGAAUGUUAUCACGGGAGACACACGGCGGGUGCUAACGUCCGUCGUGAAGAGGGAAACAACCCAGACCGCCAGCUAAGGUCCCAAAGUCAUGGUUAAGUGGGAAACGAUGUGGGAAGGCACAGACAGCCAGGAUGUUGGCUUAGAAGCAGCCAUCAUUUAAAGAAAGCGUAAUAGCUCACUGGUCGAGUCGGCCUGCGCGGAAGAUGUAACGGGGCUAAACCAUGCACCGAAGCUGCGGCAGCGACACUAUGUGUUGUUGGGUAGGGGAGCGUUCUGUAAGCCUGCGAAGGUGACCUGUGAGGGUUGCUGGAGGUAUCAGAAGUGCGAAUGCUGACAUAAGUAACGAUAAAGCGGGUGAAAAGCCCGCUCGCCGGAAGACCAAGGGUUCCUGUCCAACGUUAAUCGGGGCAGGGUGAGUCGACCCCUAAGGCGAGGCCGAAAGGCGUAGUCGAUGGGAAACAGGUUAAUAUUCCUGUACUUGGUGUUACUGCGAAGGGGGGACGGAGAAGGCUAUGUUAGCCGGGCGACGGUUGUCCCGGUUUAAGCAUGUAGGCUGGUUAUCCAGGCAAAUCCGGAUAAUCAAGGCUGAGGUGUGAUGACGAGGCACUACGGUGCUGAAGUAACAAAUGCCCUGCUUCCAGGAAAAGCCUCUAAGCAUCAGGUAACAUCAAAUCGUACCCCAAACCGACACAGGUGGUCAGGUAGAGAAUACCAAGGCGCUUGAGAGAACUCGGGUGAAGGAACUAGGCAAAAUGGUGCCGUAACUUCGGGAGAAGGCACGCUGGUGUGUAGGUGAAGUCCCUGCGGAUGGAGCUGAGACCAGUCGAAGAUACCAGCUGGCUGCAACUGUUUAUUAAAAACACAGCACUGUGCAAACACGAAAGUGGACGUAUACGGUGUGACGCCUGCCCGGUGCCGGAAGGUUAAUUGAUGGGGUUAUCCGUAAGGAGAAGCUCUUGAUCGAAGCCCCGGUAAACGGCGGCCGUAACUAUAACGGUCCUAAGGUAGCGAAAUUCCUUGUCGGGUAAGUUCCGACCUGCACGAAUGGCGUAAUGAUGGCCAGGCUGUCUCCACCCGAGACUCAGUGAAAUUGAACUCGCUGUGAAGAUGCAGUGUACCCGCGGCAAGACGGAAAGACCCCGUGAACCUUUACUAUAGCUUGACACUGAACAUUGAGCCUUGAUGUGUAGGAUAGGUGGGAGGCUUUGAAGCGUGGACGCCAGUCUGCGUGGAGCCAACCUUGAAAUACCACCCUUUAAUGUUUGAUGUUCUAACGUUGGCCCCUUACCGGGGUUGCGGACAGUGUCUGGUGGGUAGUUUGACUGGGGCGGUCUCCUCCCAAAGCGUAACGGAGGAGCACGAAGGUUAGCUAAUCCUGGUCGGACAUCAGGAGGUUAGUGCAAUGGCAUAAGCUAGCUUGACUGCGAGCGUGACGGCGCGAGCAGGUGCGAAAGCAGGUCAUAGUGAUCCGGUGGUUCUGAAUGGAAGGGCCAUCGCUCAACGGAUAAAAGGUACUCCGGGGAUAACAGGCUGAUACCGCCCAAGAGUUCAUAUCGACGGCGGUGUUUGGCACCUCGAUGUCGGCUCAUCACAUCCUGGGGCUGAAGUAGGUCCCAAGGGUAUGGCUGUUCGCCAUUUAAAGUGGUACGCGAGCUGGGUUUAGAACGUCGUGAGACAGUUCGGUCCCUAUCUGCCGUGGGCGCUGGAGAA
rnacentral:rRNA from 1 species